UUUGGUCUGAUUUCUCCGUGUACAAUUUAUGAACAUCACGUUCAGCCAACUUCACUUUGUUUACCCACCCGCAAUGUCAAAUUCAACGCGUUGCUCACAGUCACAACAGAUCACAAUCAGGAAAACAAAUGAAAACUAUCGUAGCUAGGUGAGCUAGGUAGUUGUUACUGUUGGGCCGUAACUUUCUGAACAGUUGGCGGAUUGUUUUCGGGAGAUUGCUGAGAUGCUGUGCCGUACUCGGAUAGUAACUUGUUGGAGGAACUGCGAACAGAGGGAGAGGACAAUCCGUUUCAUCCACGUCACGAAGUUAUGCUCAUUCGGGCGGACAAACGAAACCCCAAAAACUAAAGUCCAAAAACAUCGUUUGAAGAUGAGCUGGGACGCCAAUUUACAAUCGACAACAACAGCUGCGAACAUUAAGGGGAUCUGGAAAAUUCGAGUUUCCCAACUGUAAUGCAAAACGCCAAAAAUAAUGUAUCACAUAGACCACAUGACUAGUGAAAAACUUCUGGGAACUAAUAAAAUAAACAAUUCUAGUUCUAGUACAUUUCAAA